rnacentral:tRNA from 1 species
GCCGCCCACGCCCAGACAGCGGGGCACCUCACUGGUAACGAGGAACGAGGAGGGUGCAAGUCCCUCGGGUGGCUCCA